GUUGUUAGACAUUAAUAUAGAUUUGAUCAAAUUAAAGAGUUUAAUUCGAUCAUCAAUUAGAAAUAGUUCUAAUUGUUGAACUCGGGUUAACUCAAUUUGGAUCUAAAUCGAUUAGAAGAAGUUCUAAUCAAAUCUGAUCAACUUGCAUCCAGACCUGCUGUUGGCUAGGUGUGGAACCUAAUGGAUCACACACAAGAGAAAUUGAUCAAGAGUCUAAUUAAAUUAGAUCAUGUUUGCAAGAUAAAAAAGCUAGCAUGUGUUGCAAACCCUAGCCCCUAAUUCGAAUCAGAUUCGAGUUUGGUUUCAAUUUGGUUCGAGUCUUGGCAAUUUGGCUAACUAAUUUUUAUAUGCGAUAUAAAUUGGUUUGAGCCACUUAAAGGCAGCCAACAUUAGGCACCGCCUAGCCAUAUCCACGCCCUAAAGAAAGAGUCCAUG
rnacentral:lncRNA from 1 species